rnacentral:rRNA from 1 species
AUUGAACGCUAGCGGGAUGCCUUACACAUGCAAGUCGAACGGAGUGGCGAACGGGGGAGUAAUGUAUCGGAACGUGCCCAGUAGCGGGGGAUAAAUACGCGAAAGCGUAGCUAAUACAGCAUACGAUUGGAGCGGCCGAUAGCGGAGUAGCUAGUUGGUGGGGUAACGGCUCACCAAGGCGACGAUCCGUAGCUGGUUUGAGAGGACGACCGGCCACACGGGGACUGAGACACGGCCCAGACUCCGACGGGAGGCAGCAGUGGGGAAUUUUGGACAAUGGAGGAAACCCUGAUCCAGCCAUCCCGCGUGUGCGAUGAAGGCCUUCGGGUUGUAAAGCACUUUUGGCAGGAAAGCGGUACCUGCAGAAUAAGCACCGGCUAACUACGUGCCAGCAGCCGCGGUAAUAC